UGACGGCCAUAUCAUGUUGGAUAACCGGUUCCCGUACGUUUGCUGAAGUUAAGCAAUAUCGAGCCUGAUUAGUACCUAAAUAGGUGACCGCUUGGGAAUACCA